CGUUGCCUACGGGGCGCAGCAGUAGGGAAUCUUCCACAAUGGGCGAAAGACUGAUGGAGCAACGCCGCGUGGGUGAAGAAGGUCUUCGGAUCGUAAAACCCUGUUGUUAGAGAAGAAAGUGCGUGAGAGUAACUGUUCACGUUUCGACGGUAUCUAACCAGAAAGCCACGGCUAACUACGUGCCAGCAGCCGCGGUAAUACGUAGGUGGCAAGCGUUAUCCGGAUUUAUUGGGCGUAAAGGGAACGAAGGCGGUCUUUUAAGUCUGAUGUGAAACGCUUCGGCUUGGCCGGA
rnacentral:rRNA from 1 species